AGUGAACGCUGGCGGUAGGCCUAACACAUGCAAGUCGAACGGCAGCACAGUAAGAGCUUGCUCUUACGGGUGGCGAGUGGCGGACGGGUGAGGAAUACAUCGGAAUCUACUUUUUCGUGGGGGAUAACGUAGGGAAACUUACGCUAAUACCGCAUACGACCUACGGUUGAAAGCAGGGGAUCUUCGGACCUUGCGCGAUUGAAUGAGCCGAUGUCGGAUUAGCUAGUUGGCGGGGUAAAGGCCCACCAAGGCGACGAUCCGUAGCUGGUCUGAGAGGAGGAUGAGCCACAUUGGAACUGGGCCACGGUCCUGACUCCUACGGGAGGCAGCAGUGGGGAAUAUUGGACAAUGGGGGCAAGCCUGAUCCAGCCAUACCGCGUGGGUGAAGAAGGCCUUCGGGUUGUAAAGACCUUUUGUUGGGAAAGAAAAGCAGCAGCUUAAUACCCCGCUGUUCUGACGGUACCCAAAGAAUAAGCACCGGCUAACUUCGUG
rnacentral:rRNA from 1 species